GAUAAACGCUGGCGGCGUGCCUAAUACAUGCAAGUCGAGCGAACGGACGAGAAGCUUGCUUCUCUGAUGUUAGCGGCGGACGGGUGAGUAACACGUGGAUAACCUACCUAUAAGACUGGGAUAACUUCGGGAAACCGGAGCUAAUACCGGAUAAUAUUUUGAACCGCAUGGUUCAAAAGUGAAAGACGGUCUUGCUGUCACUUAUAGAUGGAUCCGCGCUGCAUUAGCUAGUUGGUAAGGUAACGGCUUACCAAGGCAACGAUGCAUAGCCGACCUGAGAGGGUGAUCGGCCACACUGGAACUGAGACACGGUCCAGACUCCUACGGGAGGCAGCAGUAGGGAAUCUUCCGCAAUGGGCGAAAGCCUGACGGAGCAACGCCGCGUGAGUGAUGAAGGUCUUCGGAUCGUAAAACUCUGUUAUUAGGGAAGAACAUAUGUGUAAGUAACUGUGCACAUCUUGACGGUACCUAAUCAGAAAGCCACGGCUAACUACGUGCCAGCAGCCGCGGUAAUACGUAGGUGGCAAGCGUUAUCCGGAAUUAUUGGGCGUAAAGCGCGCGUAGGCGGUUUUUUAAGUCUGAUGUGAAAGCCCACGGCUCAACCGUGGAGGGUCAUUGGAAACUGGAAAACUUGAGUGCAGAAGAGGAAAGUGGAAUUCCAUGUGUAGCGGUGAAAUGCGCAGAGAUAUGGAGGAACACCAGUGGCGAAGGCGACUUUCUGGUCUGUAACUGACGCUGAUGUGCGAAAGCGUGGGGAUCAAACAGGAUUAGAUACCCUGGUAGUCCACGCCGUAAACGAUGAGUGCUAAGUGUUAGGGGGUUUCCGCCCCUUAGUGCUGCAGCUAACGCAUUAAGCACUCCGCCUGGGGAGUACGACCGCAAGGUUGAAACUCAAAGGAAUUGACGGGGACCCGCACAAGCGGUGGAGCAUGUGGUUUAAUUCGAAGCAACGCGAAGAACCUUACCAAAUCUUGACAUCCUUUGACAACUCUAGAGAUAGAGCCUUCCCCUUCGGGGGACAAAGUGACAGGUGGUGCAUGGUUGUCGUCAGCUCGUGUCGUGAGAUGUUGGGUUAAGUCCCGCAACGAGCGCAACCCUUAAGCUUAGUUGCCAUCAUUAAGUUGGGCACUCUAAGUUGACUGCCGGUGACAAACCGGAGGAAGGUGGGGAUGACGUCAAAUCAUCAUGCCCCUUAUGAUUUGGGCUACACACGUGCUACAAUGGACAAUACAAAGGGCAGCGAAACCGCGAGGUCAAGCAAAUCCCAUAAAGUUGUUCUCAGUUCGGAUUGUAGUCUGCAACUCGACUACAUGAAGCUGGAAUCGCUAGUAAUCGUAGAUCAGCGUGCUACGGUGAAUACGUUCCCGGGUCU
rnacentral:rRNA from 1 species